UCCCUGAUGGUCCAUUGGUUAAGACUCUGCACUUUCAAAGGAGGAGGCACAGGUUCAAUCCUUGGUCAGGGAA
rnacentral:tRNA from 1 species